AGCUCCAAUAGCGUAUAUUAAAGUUGUUGCAGUUAAAAAGCUCGUAGUUGAACUUCUGGCAUUGAUGGCCUGGCCCUAAAAGCCGGUUGCUGUCUUUGUCAUCCCUUUUGAAUUAAAAACAUGAUCUUCGUUGAUCAGUUUGGUAUUCAAGGAUUUUACUUUGAAAAAAUUAGAGUGUUUCAAGCAAGCGAUUCGCUGGAAUACAUUAGCAUGGAAUAAUAGAAUAUGACCUUCGUCCAUUUAUUGGUCCAAUGUUUGAGGGUAAUGAUUAACAGGGACAGUUGGGGGCAUUAGUACUGCUUUGUCAGAGGUGAAAUGCAUUGAUUAUCGCAAGACUAACUUAUGCGAAAGCAUUUGCCAAGGAUGUUU
rnacentral:rRNA from 1 species